AUUGGAAAGCCACACGUUUAUUUUUAGUCUUUUCCCCAUCUCUCUCUCCUCCCUGUAUCUGCUCUCCUCUCUUCAUUGAAAUAUGAAGUGAGCCACAUCCAAUCUGUAGCCUUUCUAAGGUUCUAGCUCUAAGUGCGAGCUCACCAUAGAGACCAGAGUUACCAACAAUAGAAAAUACUGUGUCCAUGACAACCAGAAAACCCAAGGCAGUAGUUGAUUUUAACCGUCUAGUUCUAACCUUGUUAUUUAAAUUCCUCUUUUCCUCAAGGGCUGUACUUACUGCUUUAUAUAAAAGGCAGGCACACCGCUACACAGACAGCAAAAUUUCCGUACUGUCUGCUGGAAGAGGUGAGACAAGUAUCUGCAUGUGAGAGAUGCCGCGUGAACAGUCCAGAGAAGAGGGGACAACUUCCUGCUAAAGAAAUCAGGAAGGCUUCCUGGAGCCCUCAUUUGAGCUCAGGAUGGCGAGUAGACAUCAAUUACAGACCCCAACAGGAAGACAUCAGUUACUGGCCCCAAUGGGAAGAGACAUACCUUGCAUUCCCAAACAGGAAGUGGAGCUAUUUUACUACUCCAGCAGGAGGAAGGAAGUCUUCCUUCUUGCCCAGCAAUAAGCCAAGCCAAUGAGAAGCCAUCUUCACCUGAACUUUUACUUUCCUCCAGUGAACUUUCAUUAUUUCCUUGAGAUGACUUCCUUUCCUCGUCCCACCCUCCUUGCUAUAAAAGCCUUCCAUGUUGUGUAACCCCUCAGAGUGUCUCUGCUUGCUAGAUCAGAGGCUGCCCCAUGCAUGAAUGCUUCAAUAAAGCCAAUUAGAUCUUCAAAUUUACUUAGUCGAAUUUUGGUUUUUGACAAUACUAACUCACUCGCCACCCACUGGGGUUUCACCCUCAGAAGCACACACACAAAGCUCUCCAGUAAACAGUUAGUCAUCUACUCAAGCAACCUUAAGGGAAAACAAAUACCAAGCUCCAACAUGUAAAGAGCUUGGAAGUCAUCAUACCCAUGUGCACCAGAAAAAGCUAGACAAAUGGAAGAUAACUGACUGUUUUUGGAACUGUCAGAGAACUGAAGUCACAAGGCAAACCACUACGCCAAAUUCCGGAGAGACAGAUGCGUCCAGAAUUAUAGCUCCCGAGAUUUGCUGACCUGGAGUAGAAGCCAUUGGAAUCAACAAGCUGGUAGCAGCAGUUAAAUUGUUAUUUUGACGAACUGCAGGAAUCUGGGCGCAGACGUGCGUGAGAGUGAGACGCUCCGGUGGGCACCUACAGCCAUGGGGGUACCAAACUCACAUGGACUGUCACUCCAGGAACCUCACCAGGUUCCCACAGGGAUGAUCUGAGAAAGAUCCCCUCCUAGUCUGCAUGGGAGUAGGCAUCUUCAAGCUCACCUAGGCUCUUUUUUUUUUAAAUUGGUACCUAAGCUAACAUCUGUUGCCAAUCUUUUUUUUUUUUUCCUUCUUCUCCCCAAGCCCCCCAACACAUAGUUGUAUAUUCUAGUUGUAGGUACUCCUGGUUGUGCUAUGUGGGAUGCUGCCUCAGUGUGGCCUGAUGAGCGGUGCCGUGUCCACACCCAGGAUCCGAACUGGCGAAACCCUGGGCUGCCAAGUGGAGCGCAUGAACUUAACCACUCCACCACAGGGCUGGCCCCUCGCCCAGGCUCUUAUCCCUAACAAAGGCCCAGUCUCCAGGUGGAAAGAAGGCCUUACCUAUGGAAAAACAAAGAUGACAGCCGGCUUCUCAUCAGAGACCAUACAAGCAAAAAGAAAGUGGAGUGAAACCUUUAAAGUACAGAGAGAAAUUGCCAGACUAGGGACUGGCCCCGUGGCCGAGUGGUUCAGUUUGUCCACUCCGCUGUGGUGGCCCAGGGUUUUGCAGGUUUGGAUCCUGAGCAUGAACAUGGCGCCACUCAUCAAGCCGUGGUGAAGCGGCAUCCCACAUCCCACAAGUAGAAGGACCCACAACUAAAAAUACAUACAACUAUGUACUGGGGGAGAAGAAGGAAAAAGAAAUCUUUGAAAGAAAGAAGAAAGAAAGAAAGAAAUUGCCAGACUAGAAUUUUAUAUCCAGAGAAGUUAUCCUUCAAAAGUGAAGGAGACAUAAAUAUUUUCCCAGACAAGCAAGAACAUCAUUGCAGCAGGAAAUGUUAAAGAAGUUCUUCAGGAAGAAAACGAAUUAGGUCCGAAACUUGAAUGUACGCAAAGAAAGGAAGAGCACCAGAGAAGCAACAAAUGAAGGUGCUUUCUACCAGAGUGAUUUUGAGCAGCCAGUAUCCAGAGCGCUCAUGAAACCCAAAGGGCCCCCCGGCGCCCACCUUACCAUGCUGGAGACCCUCACCCUAGGGCUGGCAGGAAGAUUAGCCCUGAGCUAACAUCUGCUGCCAAUCCUCCUCUUUUCGCUGAGGAAGACUGGCCCCAAGCUAAUGUCCGUGCCCAUCUUCCACUACUUUAUAUGUGGGAUGCCUGCAACAGCACGGCUUAACAAUCAGUGCAUUGGUCUGCACCCCGGAUCUGAACCAGCAAACCCCGGGCCGCUGAAGCAGAAUGUUCAAACUUAACUGCUAUGCCACCGGCCCCUCUUGUUUCUAAUUCUAUUUGUGUAAGGUUUUGGGGAUUUUUGCAAUGUUUUCUCUUUAUAGGUAAAUUACUUACGCAAAUUUUAACUGUAUCCUUUCCAGAAAUACAACAGUCUUGUUUAGUUCAAGACUGUCAGCACCCAAACUUCAUAUUGUAAGAGGUGUCUACACUGUUGAAGCUACACGGGAAUUCAAAAUAGCAACUCUUCAUGAGAGAUGUGCAUGCCCUUUAUAAGGAAAACUACAAAACUUGUGUCUGAGUUUGGGGCCCACCAAAACGCAACCCUGAGACUCACUGAGACCACUUGGGAGGUGAUUCCAGGAGCUAAAGGAAGGAAGUGGGAAUGUGAGACAGGGAAGGGAGAAAAAUCAAGAAAAGUGGGCAGUUUUUCUGUGGGUAAGUGGGGCUUCAUCCCUUGGGGGUUCUUUGGGAGAUGAUGGGAACACACCUCAGGUCAUCCACCUGCAGGAUGGGGAAGUCAGAGCACUGAUCCACCAACUUGCAUCUCCCACUGGUGACAAUUGCCCCGGGAGCGCCGACUCCCCAUGCUUUGGGGGUGUUCCUGUCAGGGGCAGGACAGGCUGAGAUGGUGCUAGAGAAAGACCUUAGGCAGAGAAGAGAGAUGCAGGCCUUGAGGUGGGAAGGUGUCAGCAUUCUGGAAACCUGUUACAGGUGAACGCAGAAGGGCCAAGGGGAUGUAGGACGAGGCAUCAGCAGCGUCUGCCAUGACUCUAUUG
ensembl:lncRNA